rnacentral:rRNA from 1 species
GACGAACGCUGGCGGCGUGCCUAAUACAUGCAAGUAGAACGCUGAAGGAGGAGCUUGCUCUUCUGGAUGAGUUGCGAACGGGUGAGUAACGCGUAGGUAACCUGCCUGGUAGCGGGGGAUAACUAUUGGAAACGAUAGCUAAUACCGCAUAACAGUAGAUGUUGCAUGACAUUUGCUUAAAAGGUGCAAUUGCACCACUACCAGAUGGACCUGCGUUGUAUUAGCUAGUUGGUGGGGUAACGGCUCACCAAGGCGACGAUACAUAGCCGACCUGAGAGGGUGAUCGGCCACACUGGGACUGAGACACGGCCCAGACUCCUACGGGAGGCAGCAGGAGGGAAUCUUCGGCAAUGGACGGAAGUCUGACCGAGCAACGCCGCGUGAGUGAAGAAGGUUUUCGGAUCGUAAAGCUCUGUUGUAAGAGAAGAACGAGUGUGAGAGUGGAAAGUUCACACUGUGACGGUAUCUUACCAGAAAGGGACGGCUAACUACGUG